GUCUACUCAUAUUUCCCCCAUUCACAAAAUCGUAAAAAACAUCGACGAUGCCAAAGAAGAACCCAAACUUUGACUCGCCAGCAAAGGAGACGCAGAAUUUACUUCUCCUUCAUCUACACAUUUUGUCUACGUCGCCGGAGCUUCAUCUGCCCAAUUUGUCGCCAUCGCUGCCGCUUCAUCUGCACAAUCCAUCGCCGUCGUUUCAUUUGCACAAUCUGUAGCCACAAACGCGCGAUUUCUGGCGCCGCAGAUAUAGGGGAAUAGCCGUACUCUCAAUUCAUCUGCACAAUUCGUCGCCGUAGUUUUAUCCACACAAUUCGUCGCCGUCGUUUCAUUUGUACAAUAUGUACCCACAGACGCACGAUUUCUGCCGCCGCAGAUAUAGAGGAGUAGCCGUACUCUCAAUUCAGACAUCAAGGUGAGUGGUCUCUUCUUAAUUUCUAUUUUUCUGUUGCAUGUCCUCCUCGUCA